rnacentral:rRNA from 1 species
ACGGAAGGCAGCAGUGAGGAAUAUUGGUCAAUGGGCGGAAGCCUGAACCAGCCAAGUUGCGUGAGGGAAGACGGCCCUACGGGUUGUAGACCUCUUCUGCGCGGGGGUAAAGUCGGGGACGGGUCCCCGAUUGCAAGUACCGCGCGAAAAAGGAUCGGCUAACUCCGUGCCAGCAGCCGCGGUAAUACGGAGGAUCCGAGUGUUAUCCGGAUUUAUUGGGUUUAAAGGGUGCGCAGGCGGGAUGUCAAGUCAGUGGUGAAAUGGUGCGGCUCAACCGUAGCAUUGCCGUUGAAACUGGCGUCCUUGAGUGCGAAUGAGGUACGCGGAACGUGUCAUGUAGCGGUGAAAUGCAUAGAUAUGACACAGAACACCGAUUACGAAGGCAGCGUACUGGGACGCGACUGACGCUGAGGCACGAAAGUGCGGGGAGCAAACAGGAUUAGAUACCCUGGUA